CGUUGAAACACCGAUUCUCGUUAGAUCACCGAAGUUAAGCAACGUGGUGAUUGGUCAGUACCUAGAUGGGUGGCCGCUUGGGAAUACAAGGUGU